AUGAACUGGAGGGGUGUGGAUUACUUGUGGAUUAUUGUGAUGUUUUUAUCAGCUGUUUGGACUCUCAUUCUGACGGCACCCAUUCACUGCAGAGCAUCCAUUGAUGAGACACUGAUGCAAUGCUACAUUUCUCCAAAUCUGAUGAAGAAACAGACUCAUCUACAUCAUUGGUGGCCUGAAGACCACCCUCCAACACAUGACCUCCAGCCACUGAGAUGAGACCACAGCAUGAUGUGGAAACACACAUGGUGCAAAAACUUCCACUGAACAGCAGAAAAUGACUGUGUUUGAUUGCACAUUCUCAUCUCAUCCAAGACCUUCAGAUCUAUAUUCUAACAUCAUCAAAAACCUAUGAGCUUUCAAUAACAGCGUCGUCUCUGAUCACAUAUGAAACGUGGUUUAAAAAAUACACUUUCAAGAACUUCACUGUAGAAAUCUGUUAACUCAGCAUGGUGUGUUUACAAAAAUAUCAUGUGAUGUUUACUAAGUGUACAGUAUCAUAUGGCCUAUGAAACCACAAAAAUCUGCUCUUAGAAUCAGCUCAAUGCAUUGGGAAGCUUUGGAAAGCACAUCAUCAAAAGUGCCCUUUACUAACACUGUCUUUAUAUGAUUAGCACCAAUCAAAACUUUUGAAACAAGAUGUUGAACUUCAAUUUUGUAGUAGCCUAUAUUUAAUUACCACACCUCAAGUAAGUGCUGUCUCCGGAUCACUUGGACCUUCUUAAGGGCUUCAGACCUUCAGCAGAAGAUCAGCUCUCACAAUCACACUUCUUUAAACUUCUUUAUAGACUGUGUGACUGGUGCUUAAGUAGAUAAUCAAAGGCACUUUGGUUUUAAGAGGCCUGAAAUUAAUGAAGAGGUCAAUUCUAAGCUUUCAUAUCUAUUAGAGAUAAAGACCGACACCAGACAGAGAGACCAUAAAAUGCAUUAUAUUAAUGCAGUUGGUUAUAUAUUUCCUUCCUUAAAUCGACAUGGACACAGACCUCAUUAAAUAAAUGAAAGAGCAAAGAGAGACUAUAAAAGGCC
ensembl:lncRNA